AUUGAACGCUGGCGGCAGGCCUAACACAUGCAAGUCGAACGAGUGGCGGACGGGUGAGUAAUGUCUGGGAAACUGCCUGAUGGAGGGGGAUAACUACUUAAAACGGUAGCUAAUACCGCAUACCAUCAGAUGUGCCAAGAUGGGAUUAGCUAUUAGGUGGGGUAACGGCUCACCAAGGCGACGAUCCCUAGCUGGUCUGAGAGGAUGACCAGCAACACUGGAACUGAGACACGGUCCAGACUACUACGGGAGGCAGCAGUGGGGAAUAUUGCACAAUGGGCGCAAGCAUGAUGAAGCCAUGCCGCGUGUAUGAAGAAGGUCUUCGGGUUGUAAAGUACUUUAAGCGGGGAAGCGUUACCAGUAGAAGAAGCACCGGCUAACUCCGUGACAGCAGACGCGGUAAUAC
rnacentral:rRNA from 1 species